AGCCCGCUCAGAAACUACAAAGGAAUUGACGGGGCCCGCACAAGCGGUGGAGCAUGUGGUUUAAUUCGAUGCAACGCGAAGAACCUUACCUGGUCUUGACAUCCCGGAGACCCUUAGGAAACUAGGGGGUGCUUCCAUCUGGAAGAAUCUGGAGACAGGUGCUGCAUGGCUAUCGUCAGCUCGUGUCGUGAGAUGUUGGGUUAAGUCCCGCAACGAGCGCAACCCUUGCCUUUAGUUGCCAGCAGUUCGGCUGGGCACUCUAAAGGGACUGCCGGUGUUAAAUCGGAGGAAGGUGGGGAUGACGUCAAGUCCUCAUGGCCUUUAUGACCAGGGCUACACACGUACUACAAUGGCCGAUACAAAGGGCAGCGACACUGCGAGGUGAAGCCAAUCCCGUAAAAUCGGUCUCAGUCCGGAUUGGAGUCUGCAACUCGACUCCAUGAAGUUGGAAUCGCUAGUAAUCGUGGAUCAGCAUGCCACGGUGAAUACGUUCCCGGGCCUU
rnacentral:rRNA from 1 species